AUGAUAAUAUCGCUUAAUCUUUGAGCGGGGGAACCAAUUUUACUUUUAUUUAAGUAUUUGGGGUGAAUCCUUUACAGGUAGGGUACUCUCAAAACCCGAACCCGACAGCUAACCUCGUAAGCGUGUUGAGAGGAAAA
rnacentral:sRNA from 2 species